rnacentral:lncRNA from 1 species
AUUAUAGUUAACUCAUAUCGUAAAGCCAAAGAAGAAGAAUAAGAUCACAAUCAUGUCACAUUUUAGAAAGAGUUAUUUUUAUUUUAUUACUCUAGUGAAUAACAACACAUUAAAUUUCAAACAGAAUCACACCAAACAUUUUAAUUUAAACCCUAUCAUCAGCACCCCCUCCAAAACCGCCGCCUGUACCGCCCCCAAAGCCUCCACCAGCUCCACCACCACUUCCAGCACCACCUCCAAAGCCUCCACCAGCUCCACCACCACUUCCAGCACCACCUCCAAAGCCUCCACCAGCUCCACCACCACUUCCUGCACCACCUCCAAAGCCUCCACUUCCACCACCACUUCCAGCACCACCUCCAAAGCCUCCACCAGCUCCACCACCACUUCCUGCACCACCUCCAAAGCCUCCACCAGCUCCACCACCACUUCCUGCACCACCUCCAAAGCCUCCACCAGCACCACCUCCACCAUCACUUCCAGCACCACCUCCAAAGCCUCCACCACUUCCCCCACCUACUCCAUCUCCAAUACCUCCGCCAGAUCCACCUCCAAAGCCUCCACCAGCACCACCACCACUACCACCUCCCAAACCUCCACCUCCACCUAAACCACCACCACUACCACCUCCAAGACCUCCAUCAUAACCACCUCCACUUCCUCCUCCUAGACCACCACCACUAC